rfam:Myotis davidii contig205325, whole genome shotgun sequence.
GGCGGGUCGUGGGUGACACACCCCAAGAUCAGGCUCCCUCCUCUCUGGUUCCGGGUGUACCACCUGAGAACUGCA